AUUGAACGCUGGCGGCAUGCCUAACACAUGCAAGUCGAACGGCAGCACAGCAGUAGCAAUACUGUGGGUGGCGAGUGGCGGACGGGUGAGGAAUACGUCGGAAUCUGCCCAGUCGUGGGGGAUAACUAGCCGAAAGGUUAGCUAAUACCGCAUACGACCGAGAGGUGAAAGCGGGGGACCGCAAGGCCUCGCGCGAUUGGAUGAGCCGACGUCGGAUUAGCUAGUUGGCGGGGUAAAGGCCCACCAAGGCGACGAUCCGUAGCUGGUCUGAGAGGAUGAUCAGCCACACUGGAACUGAGACACGGUCCAGACUCCUACGGGAGGCAGCAGUGGGGAAUAUUGGACAAUGGGGGGCAACCCUGAUCCAGCCAUUCCGCGUGAGUGAAGAAGGCCUUCGGGUUGUAAAGGCUCUUUCGGUCAGGAACGAAACGGUGAGGGCGUAAUAUCCCUUGCUAAUGACGGUACCUGAAGAAGAAGCACCGGCUAACUACGUGCCAGCAGCCGCGG
rnacentral:rRNA from 1 species